AAUAGGAGCAUGACAAGUUAGAUUUUUUCCUUCUGAUUUUUAGCUUUUUCCUUCAGAAAAAUUCAAAUCCAACUAAAAAUGCUAAUAAUUAGGAUAAAAAUCUGAUUUGUCAUACUCUUAAU
rnacentral:pre_miRNA from 1 species